UACGGAGGGAGCUAGCGUUGUUCGGAUAUACUGGGCGUAAAGGGUGCGUAGGCGGUUCGUUAAGUCUGUCGUGAAAUCCCCGGGCUCAACCUGGGAAUGGCGAUGGAUACUGGCGAGCUAGAGUGUGUCAGAGGAUGGUGGAAUUCCCGGUGUAGCGGUGAAAUGCGUAGAGAUCGGGAGGAACAUCAGUGGCGAAGGCGGCCAUCUGGGACAACACUGACGCUGAAGCACGAAAGCGUGGGGAGCAAACAGG
rnacentral:rRNA from 1 species